rnacentral:rRNA from 1 species
AUUGAACGCUGGCGGCAUGCUUUACACAUGCAAGUCGGACGGCAGCACAGAGAAGCUUGCUUCUUGGGUGGCGAGUGGCGAACGGGUGAGUAAUAUAUCGGAACGUACCGAGUAAUGGGGGAUAACUAAUCGAAAGAUUAGCUAAUACCGCAUAUUCUCUGAGGAGGAAAGCAGGGGACCUUCGGGCCUUGCGUUAUUCGAGCGGCCGAUAUCUGAUUAGCUAGUUGGUGGGGUAAAGGCCUACCAAGGCGACGAUCAGUAGCGGGUCUGAGAGGAUGAUCCGCCACACUGGGACUGAGACGCGGCCCAGACUCCUACGGGAGGCAGCAGUGGGGAAUUUUGGACAAUGGGCGCAAGCCUGAUCCAGCCAUGCCGCGUGUCUGAAGAAGGCCUUCGGGUUGUAAAGGACUUUUGUCAGGGAAGAAAAGGCUGUUGCUAAUACCGACAGCUGAUGACGGUACCUGAAGAAUAAGCACCGGCUAACUACGUGCCAGCAGCCGCGGUAAUACGUAGGGUGCGAGCGUUAAUCGGAAUUACUGGGCGUAAAGCGAGCGCAGACGGUUACUUAAGCAGGAUGUGAAAUCCCCGGGCUCAACCUGGGAACUGCGUUCUGAACUGGGUGACUAGAGUGUGUCAGAGGGAGGUAGAAUUCCACGUGUAGCAGUGAAAUGCGUAGAGAUGUGGAGGAAUACCGAUGGCGAAGGCAGCCUCCUGGGAUAACACUGACGUUCAUGCUCGAAAGCGUGGGUAGCAAACAGG